rnacentral:rRNA from 1 species
UACGUAGGAUGCGAGCGUUGUCCGGAAUUAUUGGGCGUAAAGAGGACGUAGGCGGUUUGCCAAGUUUGAUCUUAAAGACCGGGCUUAACUCCGGGAGUGGAUCGAAAACUGGCAGACUAGAGGACGUCAGAGGAAAGUGGAAUUCCCAGUGUAGCGGUGAAAUGCGUAGAUAUUGGGAGGAACACCAGUGGCGAAAGCGACUUUCUGGGACGUUCCUGACGCUGAGGUUCGAAAGCUCGGGGAGCAAACAGG